CCUACGGGAGGCAGCAGUGGGGAAUAUUGGACAAUGGGCGAAAGCCUGAUCCAGCCAUGCCGCGUGUGUGAAGAAGGCCUUCGGGUUGUAAAGCACUUUCAGUGGGGAAGAAAGCCUUGGGGCUAAUACCCUCGAGGAAGGACAUCACCCACAGAAGAAGCACCGGCUAACUCCGUGCCAGCAGCCGCGGUAAUACGGAGGGUGCGAGCGUUAAUCGGAACUACUGGGCGUAAAGCGCGCGUAGGCGGUCUGAUAAGCCGGUUGUGAAAGCCCCGGGCUCAACCUGGGAACGGCAUCCGGAACUGUCAGGCUAGAGUGCAGGAGAGGAAGGUAGAAUUCCCGGUGUAGCGGUGAAAUGCGUAGAGAUCGGGAGGAAUACCAGUGGCGAAGGCGGCCUUCUGGACUGACACUGACGCUGAGGUGCGAAAGCGUGGGUAGCAAACAGGAUUAGAUACCCCAGUAGUC
rnacentral:rRNA from 1 species